rnacentral:rRNA from 1 species
AUUGAACGCUGGCGGCAGGCCUAACACAUGCAAGUCGAGCGGCAGCGGGAAAGUAGCUUGCUACUUUUGCCGGCGAGCGGCGGACGGGUGAGUAAUGCCUGGGGAUCUGCCCAGUCGAGGGGGAUAACUACUGGAAACGGUAGUUAAUACCGCAUACGCCCUACGGGGGAAAGCAGGGGCCCUUCGGGCCUUGCGCGAGUGGAUGAACCCAGGUGGGAUUAGCUAGUUGGUGAGGUAACGGCUCACCAAGGCGACGAUCCCUAGCUGGUCUGAGAGGAUGAUCAGCCACACUGGAGCUGAGACACGGUCCAGACUCCUACGGGAGGCAGCAGUGGGGAAUAUUGCACAAUGGGGGAAACCCUGAUGCAGCCAUGCCGCGUGUGUGAAGAAGGCCUUCGGGUUGUAAAGCACUUUCAGCGAGGAGGAAAGGUUGGUAGCUAAUAACUGCCAGCUGUGACGUUACUCGCAGAAGAAGCACCGGCUAACUCCGUGCCAGCCGCCGCGGUAAUAC